rnacentral:rRNA from 1 species
UACGAAGGGGGCGAGCGUUGUCCGAAGUUACUGGGCGUAAAGCGCGCGUAGGCGGGUUGGUAAGUCCGCUGUGAAAGCCCGGAGCUUAACUCCGGAGGGUCGGUGGAUACUGCCAGUCUUGAAGGUGCUAGGGGGAGAUGGAAUUACCGGUGUAGCGGUGAAAUGCGUAGAUAUCGGUAGGAACACCAGUGGCGAAGGCGGUCUCCUGGGGCAUUCUUGACGCUGAGGCGCGAAAGCUGGGGGAGCAAACGGG